GACGAACGCUGGCGGCGUGCUUAACACAUGCAAGUCGAACGAUGAACCCGGAGCUUGCUCCGGUGGAUUAGUGGCGAACGGGUGAGUAACACGUGAGUAACCUGCCCUUGACUCUGGGAUAACUGCGGGAAACUGUAGCUAAUACCGGAUGCGACCCUCGGCGGCAUCGCCAGGGGGUGGAAAGAAUUUCGGUCAAGGAUGGACUCGCGGCCUAUCAGCUAGUUGGUGAGGUAACGGCUCACCAAGGCGACGACGGGUAGCCGGCCUGAGAGGGGGCCCGGCCACACGGGGACGGAGAGAGGGCCCAGCCGCCGAGGGGAGGAAGCAUUGGGAAAUAUUGCAAAAUGGCGCAAGCCUGAUGCAGCAACGCCGCGUGAGGGAUGACGGCCUUCGGGUUGUAAACCUCUUUUAGUAGGGAAGAAGCGAAAGUGACGGUACCUGCAGAAAAAGCACCGGCUAACUACGUGCCAGCCGCCGCGGUAA
rnacentral:rRNA from 1 species